GAUGAACGCUGGCGGCGUGCCUAAUACAUGCAAGUCGAGCGAACAGACGCGGAGCUUGCUCCUCUGACGUUAGCGGCGGACGGGUGAGUAACACGUGGAUAACCUACCUAUAAUACUGGGAUAACUUCGGGAAACCGGAGCUAAUACCGGAUAAUAUCUUGAACCGCAUGGUUCAAUAGUGAAAGACGGUUUUGCUGUCACUUAUAGCUGGAUCCGCGCCGCAUUAGCUAGUUGGUAAGGUAACGGCUUACCAAGGCAACGAUGCGUAGCCGACCUGAGAGGGUGAUCGGCCACCCUGGAACUGAGACGCGGUCCAGACUCCUACGGGAGGCAGCAGUAGGGAAUCUUCCGCAAUGGGCGAAAGCUUGGCGGAGCAACGCCGCGUGAGUGAUGAAGGUCUUCGGAUCGUAAAACUCUGUUAUGAGGGAAGAACAAAUGUGUAAGUAACUAUGCACGUCUUGACGGUACCUAAUCAGAAAGCCACGGCUAACUACGUG
rnacentral:rRNA from 1 species